rnacentral:rRNA from 1 species
AUUGAACGCUGGCGGCAUGCCUAACACAUGCAAGUCGAACGAGUGGCGGACGGGUGAGUAAUGUCUGGGAACCUGCCUGAUGGCGGGGGAUAACUACUGGAAACGGUAGCUAAUACCGCAUACCAUCGGAUGUGCCCAUAUGGGAUUAGCUAGUAGGUGGGGUAAAGGCUCACCUAGGCGACGAUCCCUAGCUGGUCUGAGAGGAUGACCAGCCACACUGUGACUGAGACACGGCCCAGACUCCUACGGGAGGCAGCAGUGGGGAAUAUUGCACAAUGGGGGAAAGCCUGAUGCAGCCAUGCCGCGUGUAUGAAGAAGGCCUUCGGGUUGUAAAGUACUUUUAGCGGGGAAGCGUUACCUGCAGAAGAAGCACCGGCUAACUCCGUGCCAGCAGCCGCGGUAAUAC